rnacentral:rRNA from 1 species
UUGCUGCUUUGCUGACGAGUGGCGGACGGGUGAGUAAUGUCUGGGAAACUGCCUGAUGGAGGGGGAUAACUACUGGAAACGGUGGCUAAUACCGCAUAACGUCGCAAGACCAAAGAGGGGGACCUUCGGGCCUCUUGCCAUCAGAUGUGCCCAGAUGGGAUUAGCUUGUUGGUGAGGUAACGGCUCACCAAGGCGACGAUCCCUAGCUGGUCUGAGAGGAUGACCAGCCACACUGGAACUGAGACACGGUCCAGACUCCUACGGGAGGCAGCAGUGGGGAAUAUUGCACAAUGGGCGCAAGCCUGAUGCAGCCAUGCCGCGUGUAUGAAGAAGGCCUUCGGGUUGUAAAGUACUUUCAGCGGGGAGGAAGGUGUUGUGGUUAAUAACCGCAGCAAUUGACGUUACCCGCAGAAGAAGCACCGGCUAACUCCGUGCCAGCAGCCGCGGUAAUACGGAGGGUGCAAGCGUUAAUCGGAAUUACUGGGCGUAAAGCGCACGCAGGCGGUCUGUCAAGUCGGAUGUGAAAUCCCCGGGCUCAACCUGGGAACUGCAUUCGAAACUGGCAGGCUUGAGUCUUGUAGAGGGGGGUAGAAUUCCAGGUGUAGCGGUGAAAUGCGUAGAGAUCUGGAGGAAUACCGGUGGCGAAGGCGGCCCCCUGGACAAA